CCUACGGGAGGCAGCAGUGGGGAAUAUUGCACAAUGGGGGAAACCCUGAUGCAGCGACGCCGCGUGAGUGAAGAAGUAAUUCGUUAUGUAAAGCUCUAUCAGCAGGGAAGAAAAUGACGGUACCUGAGUAAGAAUCCCCGGCUACCUCCGUGCCAGCAGCCGCGGUAAUACGUGGGGGGCAAGCGUUAUCCGGAUUUACUGGGUGAAAGGGGAGCGUAGACGGCAGUGCAAGUCUGGAGUGAAAGGCGGGGGCUCAACCCCCGGACUGCUCUGGAAACUGUACGGCGGGAGUGCAGGAGGGGUAGGUGGAAUUCCUAGUGUAGGGGUGAAA
rnacentral:rRNA from 1 species